GACGAGGGAUCCUAGCGUUGUUCGGAAUUAUUGGGCGUAAAGCGGGUGUAGGCGGCUUUAUAAGUCAGGUGUGAAAGCCCAGGGCUCAACCCUGGAAGUGCACUUGAUACUGUAAAGCUUGAAUGUGGUAGAGGUUACUGGAAUUGUUGGUGUAGUGGUGAAAUACGUAGAUAUCAACAGGAAUACCGGAGGCGAAGGCGGGUAACUGGGCCAACAUUGACGCUGAGACCCGAAAGCGUGGGGAUCAAACAGG
rnacentral:rRNA from 1 species